UCGAUCAUUUCAUCGAAUUAUACACUACCGGAUUCCUAACAGAUAAGUCAACACCGCUGUUAUCGUCCACUUAAAAAACUCAAUUACGCAUUCUCGUAACCUGCAACCUCGUGAAUCAUAGCCCUAACAAUUAGCGACGUGUUUGCAGUAGCUGGGCAUAAUCAUCUUUCUCCAUGUAGAUGAAGGAUCAAAGCUUAAUCCACCACGUUGCUUCACUACGGCGGCGGUUGGCGGAUUCCCUACAACCGAGAUCGACAGCUUUACGGGCUCUCUGAAAUACCAAUUAUGGUGGCGAGAUCCGCAAGGAGAGACAAUGAGAUCAAAAAGGAAUAUUGGUAAAAAUACAAAUAAACCUACAUUCCUAGUGGGAAUCAGACCCACCACCGCCUGAGUUUAGCUAUAUUAAUUUUGUUAACUUCUUAAAUGUCUAAUAACUUUAACUACACGUUGUAAUAGAUUGUAAACUAACUGACAUUA